UUGUCCUCAGGUUGAAAAAUGGCGGAAUAAGUUAAUGUUUCAACCAAGAAACCCUGGUCACUGGACUCUGGCCAUGCUGUGGCACCGCUUGGAGGGUUUCAUUCGAACGAAUUGAUUCAUGCAUUUGACUGCGGCCAUGCUGUGUGAGUUACAUGUAACUUGCUUAGCCUAUGGAAUGGCUAUUUCUCGACGCAUUCUUCAAAUGAUUUGAAUUUUCUGUGACUGUUUACAUUAUUGUCAUAAUCUUGUCGCCUGAAGGAAAGGAGAAUUCGUUGAAAAUCCCAGUAGAUUUGUAGAAGGCAGCAUCCGCAUACUCCGUUGGUCUGAUCGUGUGCGCGUGUAUAAUACAUAUUUUAUACAUA